GGGUUGUGAGGUUAAGCGACUAAGCGUACACGGUGGAUGCCCUGGCAGUCAGAGGCGAUGAAGGACGUGCUAAUCUGCGAUAAGCGUCGGUAAGGUGAUAUGAACCGUUAUAACCGGCGAUUUCCGAAUGGGGAAACCCAGUGUGAUUCGUCACACUAUCAUUAACUGAAUCCAUAGGUUAAUGAGGCGAACCGGGGGAACUGAAACAUCUAAGUACCCCGAGGAAAAGAAAUCAACCGAGAUUCCCCCAGUAGCGGCGAGCGAACGGGGAGCAGCCCAGAGCCUGAAUCAGUGUGUGUGUUAGUGGAAGCGUCUGGAAAGGCGUGCGAUACAGGGUGACAGCCCCGUACACAAAAAUGCACAUAUUGUGAGCUCGAUGAGUAGGGCGGGACACGUGGUAUCCUGUCUGAAUAUGGGGGGACCAUCCUCCAAGGCUAAAUACUCCUGACUGACCGAUAGUGAACCAGUACCGUGAGGGAAAGGCGAAAAGAACCCCGGCGAGGGGAGUGAAAAAGAACCUGAAACCGUGUACGUACAAGCAGUGGGAGCACGCUUAGGCGUGUGACUGCGUACCUUUUGUAUAAUGGGUCAGCGACUUAUAUUCUGUAGCAAGGUUAACCGAAUAGGGGAGCCGAAGGGAAACCGAGUCUUAACUGGGCGUUAAGUUGCAGGGUAUAGACCCGAAACCCGGUGAUCUAGCCAUGGGCAGGUUGAAGGUUGGGUAACACUAACUGGAGGACCGAACCGACUAAUGUUGAAAAAUUAGCGGAUGACUUGUGGCUGGGGGUGAAAGGCCAAUCAAACCGGGAGAUAGCUGGUUCUCCCCGAAAGCUAUUUAGGUAGCGCCUCGUGAAUUCAUCUCCGGGGGUAGAGCACUGUUUCGGCAAGGGGGUCAUCCCGACUUACCAACCCGAUGCAAACUGCGAAUACCGGAGAAUGUUAUCACGGGAGACACACGGCGGGUGCUAACGUCCGUCGUGAAGAGGGAAACAACCCAGACCGCCAGCUAAGGUCCCAAAGUCAUGGUUAAGUGGGAAACGAUGUGGGAAGGCCCAGACAGCCAGGAUGUUGGCUUAGAAGCAGCCAUCAUUUAAAGAAAGCGUAAUAGCUCACUGGUCGAGUCGGCCUGCGCGGAAGAUGUAACGGGGCUAAACCAUGCACCGAAGCUGCGGCAGCGA
rnacentral:rRNA from 1 species